AGUGAACGCUGGCGGUAGGCCUAACACAUGCAAGUCGAACGGCAGCACAGUAAGAGCUUGCUCUUACGGGUGGCGAGUGGCGGACGGGUGAGGAAUACAUCGGAAUCUACUUUUUCGUGGGGGAUAACGUAGGGAAACUUACGCUAAUACCGCAUACGACCUACGGGUGAAAGCAGGGGAUCUUCUGACCUUGCGCGAUUGAAUGAGCCGAUGUCGGAUUAGCUAGUUGGCGGGGUAAAGGCCCACCAAGUCGACGAUCCGUAGCCGGUCUGAGAGGAUGGUCAGCCACACUGGAACUGAGCCACGGUCCAGAGUCCUACGGGAGGGAGCAGUGGGGAAUAUUGGACAAUGGGCGCAAGCCUGAUCCAGCCAGACCGCGUGGGUGAAGAAGGCCUUCGGGUUGUAAAGCCCUUUUGUUGGGAAAGAAAAGCAGCAGGUUAAUACCCCGCUGUUCUGACGGUACCCAAAGAAUAAGCACCGGCUAACUUCGUG
rnacentral:rRNA from 1 species